CCACAAAAUCCAAAACAAAAACUAUUAAUGCUAGGAAUUUCACUGCAAUCACUCUUGCAGUCCUCCACCAUAAAAUCAACCCCCCCAGCCACACACCACCAGGCUACAUUAUUUAAGAUGUGCCUUUUUAAUGUGAGAUCGCUCACCAACGAAACUUUUAUCCUUAAUGAUCUUAUCACUUCUAGAGAUUUUGAUUUCAUGUUUUUAACUGAGACAUAGAUGAGGCCAAAUGAUUAGUCAGCUUGCUGAAUUAUGUCCUCCAGAAUAUGAUAGCUUUAGCUUGCAUAGACCCAGUGGCCUAUGGAGCCAGAACGGUGACUUUAAAAUUUGGCAUCCAAAAAAAAAAAAUUGGCAUUGAAAACAAAGCCAGUACUGAAAAAGGAAACAUUGGCAUUGAAGCAUUUGUAUUGAAAACAGUUGUAUUGGCAUUGAAACAAGUAUUGGCACUGAAACAAGAAACUAAUUAAAAUAAUUAAAAUCUGAAAAUCUUAUUAUUUUAUUUUAUUGGGAUUUUUUUGUAUUUUUCAAUGACAAUCUUCAGAUUUUUUCUUCAUGCCACUUUUUUUUCAGUGACAGAUUUUUUUACAAUGUCACUUUUUUUUCAGUGUCACUGAUUUUCAGUUUCAACUUUCUGUCACUGUUUUGGCGUGGAGAGGGGGGGGUCUGAGGGGAGGGGCAAGUAGACCGUGGUUUGCAUAUAAUUUGCAUAUCGGCAUACUGAAGACGUACGUCUCUUUUCCGAACCCGCCAUCCGCUCGGAAGCCUCUGGCAUGGUGGCUUUACUAAGAUGUCAUGUUCACCGGGAACUUCCAAACCGCAAGAGUUAGAGGCCAGUGUUAUUGCUGCUGCACAAGGCCUCAUAAACGUGCUAACGCAAAAUAUUCAGCAGCAUCACACCCCAGCACAGCAGAAUCCAGUGCAGUCACAUGAGCAACAGAAUCCACAAGCACAAACAACAAAACAAACAGUGCAGGAGGAGAUGGCCAGGUCAUUUCCUGGCUUCUUUACCAAAAGGAAAGGCAAAAACCGCUUUACACCCUUACAAACCACUCCAGGGAAGCCGA